rnacentral:rRNA from 1 species
CGGAGGAAAAGAAACUAACAAGGAUUCCCCUAGUAACGGCGAGUGAAGAGGGAAGAGCUCAAAUUUUAANUCUGCCUUGUUCCAAGGUCGAGUUGUAAUUUGAAGAAGCGUUUUCUUGGGCUCGCGGCCGGUAGAAGUUCUUUGGAACAGGACAUCAUAGAGGGUGACAAUCCCGUCCGUGACCGGUCGUGCGUUCAUCUACGAUACGCUUUCAAAGAGUCGAGUUGUUUGGGAUUGCAGCUCCAAACGGGUGGUAAACAUCACCUAAGGCUAAAUAUUGGCGAGAGACCGAUAGCGAACAAGUACCGUGAGGGAAAGAUGAAAAGAACUUUGAAAAGAGAGUUAAACAGUACGUGAAAUUGUUGAAAGGGAAACGAUUGAAGUCAGUCGUGCUGGCGCGAAAUCAACCCUCUCGUCUUGAGAUCACAUGGCGCGACGAGCCUCAAAACCGUCACGAAGCGUGAACUCUUGACGAAAAGGUGCACUUUCGUGUCCGCUGGUUAACAUCAAUUUCGAACGUCAUAAAAAGGCUGGAGGGAUGUGGCUCCUUCGGGAGUGUUAUAACCUUUAGCGGAAUGUGGCGUUCGGGAUUGAGGAUUGCAACGAAUACCUUCAGGGCUGUUCCACCUGGCUUCUCAUUGGUAUCCUGGUGACGACAGCUUGCUGACGUCGUUAGGAUCAGCUUCUGAACAGGCUAGAGUGUGAGCAAAUUCGUUAAGGAUGUUAACGUAAUGGCUUUAAACGACCCGUCUUGA